UACAGAGGUGGCAAGCGUUGUUCGGAAUUACUGGGCGUAAAGGGCGCGUAGGCGGCCUUCUAAGUCAGACGUGAAAUCCCCCGGCUUAACCUGGGAACUGCGUCUGAUACUGGAAGGCUUGAGGAUGGGAGAGGGAUGUAGAAUUCCAGGUGUAGCGGUGAAAUGCGUAGAUAUCUGGAGGAACACCGGUGGCGAAGGCGGCAUCCUGGACCAAUUCUGACGCUGAGGAGCGAAAGCCAGGGGAGCAAACGGG
rnacentral:rRNA from 1 species